CCUACGGGAGGCAGCAGUGAGGAAUCUUGGUCAAUGGACGGAAGUCUGAACCAGCCAUGCCGCGUGCAGGAAGACGGCUCUAUGAGUUGUAAACUGCUUUUGUACAAGGGUAAACCUGAAUACGUGUAUUCAGCUGAAAGUACUGUACGAAUAAUGAUCGGCUAACUCCGUGCCAGCAGCCGCGGUAAUACGGAGGAUCCAAGCGUUAUCCGGAUUUAUUGGGUUAAAAGGGUGCGUAGCAGGAUUGAUAAGUUAGAGGUGAAAUGUCCGAGCUUAACUCGGGAACUGCCUCUAAUACGGUUGAUCUAGAGAGUAGAUGCGGUAGGCGGAAUGUAUGGUGUAGCGGUGAAAGGCUUAGAGAUCAUACAGAACACCGAUUGCGAAGGCAGCUUACCAAUCUAUAUCUGACGUUGAGGCACGAAAGCGUGGGGAGCAAACAGGAUUAGAUACCCGGUAGUC
rnacentral:rRNA from 1 species